rnacentral:rRNA from 1 species
GGGGAAUAUUGCACAAUGGAGGAAACUCUGAUGCAGCGACGCCGCGUGAGCGAAGAAGGCCUUCGGGUCGUAAAGCUCUGUCCUAUGGGACGAUAAUGACGGUACCAUAGGAGGAAGCCCCGGCUAACUACGUGCCAGCAGCCGCGGUAAUACGUAGGGGGCGAGCGUUGUCCGGAAUGACUGGGCGUAAAGGGUACGUAGGCGGCUAGAUAAGUCAGAUGUGAAAGGCAUGGGCUCAACCUGUGUUAGCAUUUGAAACUGUUUAGCUUGAGUUAAGGAGAGGAAAGUGGAAUUCCUGGUGUAGCGGUGAAAUGCGUAGAUAUCAGGAGGAAUACCAGUGGCGAAGGCGACUUUCUGGACUUAUACUGACGCUGAGGUACGAGAGCGUGGGGAGCGAAC